rnacentral:rRNA from 1 species
UUCGAUUAUGGCUCAGAUUGAACGCUGGCGGGAUGCUUCACACAUGCAAGUCGAACGGCAGCACGGACUUCGGUCUGGUGGCGAGUGGCGAACAGGUGAGUAAUGUAUCGGAACGUGCCCUGUGUGGGGGAUAACUACGCGAAAGCGUAAUAUUACCGCAUACGCCCUUCGGGGGAAAGCGGGGACCUUCGGGCCUCACUAUUAGAGCAGCCGAUAUCGGAUUAGCUAGUUGGUGGGGUAACGGCUCCGCAGGCGACGAUCGUAGCUGGUUUGAGAGGACGACCAGCCACACUGGGACUGAGACACGGCCCAGACUCCUGCAGGAGGCAGCAGUGGGGAAUUUUGGACAAUGGGGAAACCCUGAUCCAGCCAUCCCGCGUGUGCGAUGAAGGCCUUCGGGUUGUAAAGCACUUUUGGCGGAAAGAAACUGGCACAGGAUAAUACCCCGUGCAACUGACAGUACCUGCAGAAUAAGCACCGGCUAACUACGUGCCAGCAGCCGCGGUAAUACGUAGGGUGCAAGCGUUAAUCGGAAUUACUGGGCGUAAAGCGUGCGCAGGCGGUUCGGAAAGAAAAAUGUGAAAUCCCAGAGCUUGUUAACUUUGGAACUGCAUUUUUUAACUACCGAGCUAGAGUGUGUCAGAGGGAGGUGGAAUUCCGCGUGUAGCAGUGAAAUGCGUAGAUAUGCGGAGGAACACCGAUGGCGAAGGCAGCCUCCUGGGAUAACACUGACGCUCAUGCAGGCGGCAGUGGGGAGCAAGAGCAAGAGUUAGAUACCCUGGUAGUCCACGCCCUAAACGAUGUCAACUAGCUGUUGGGGCCUUCGGGCCUUGGUAGCGCAACUAACGCGUGAAGUUGACCGCCUGGGGAAGUACGGUCGCAAGAUUAAAACUCAAAGGAAUUGACGGGGACCCGCACAAACGGUGGAUGAUGUGGAUUAAUUCGAUGCAGCAUGAAAAACCUUACCUACCCUUGACAUGUCUGGAAUCCCGAAAGAGAUUUAGAGUGCUCGCAAGAGAACCGGAACACAGGUGCUGCAUGGCUCGUCGGCUCGUGUGAAGAUGUUGGGUUAAGUCCCGCAACGAGCGCAACCCUUGUCAUUAGUUGCUACGAAAGGGGGCACUCUAAUGAGACUGCCGGUGACAAACCGGAGGAGGGUGGGGAUGACGUCAAGUCCUCAUGGCCCUUAUGGGUAGGGCUUCACACGUCAUACAAUGGUCGGGACAGAGGUCGCCAACCCGCGAGGGGCCGUCAGAAACCCGGUCGUAGUCCGGAUCGCAGUCUGCAACUCGACUGCGUGAAGUCGGAAUCGCUAGUAAUCGCGGAUCAGCAUGUCGCGGUGAAUACGUUCCCGGGUCUUGUACACACCGCCCGUCACACCAUGGGAGUGGGUUUUACCAGAAGUAGUUAGCCUAACCGUAAGGAGGGCGAUUACCACGGUAGGAUUCAUGACUGGGGUGAAGUCGUAACAAAAGGUAA